rnacentral:lncRNA from 1 species
AGCAGUUGAAGAAGCUGUGGAGAAAUUCCAGGAUGAGAUGACUUCAUACACCCUCAUCUCAGCUGCAGCCAUCCUGGGCAGCAGCAACAUGCCUGCUGCAGUGCCAGCCACACAGCCAGGGACGCUGCAGCCACCAAUGGUGCUCUUAGACUUCCCACCUCUCGCCUGCUUCCUCAACAACAUUUUGGUUGCUUUCAAUGAUUUACGUCUCUGUUGCCCUGUGGCCCUAGCACAGGAUGUAACUGGGGCCUUGGAGGACGCCCUUAUGAAGGUAACCAAAACAAUCCUAGCAUUCCAUCGUGCAGAAGAGGCUGUGUUCAGCAGUGGGGAGCAUGAGAUCUUUGUCCAGUUCUGCACUGCCUUCCUGGAAGACCUUGUUCCUUAUUUGAACCGCUGUCUUCAAGUCCUUUUCCCACCAGCUCAGAUAGCCCAGACUUUAGGUAAAAAAAACGGAAACAUUUUAAAA